rnacentral:rRNA from 1 species
CGGGACGGGUGAGUAAUGUCUGGGAAACUGCCUGAUGGAGGGGGAUAACUACUGGAAACGGUAGCUAAUACCGCAUAACGUCGCAAGACCAAAGAGGGGGACCUUCGGGCCUCUUGCCAUCGGAUGUGCCCAGAUGGGAUUAGCUAGUAGGUGGGGUAACGGCUCACCUAGGCGACGAUCCCUAGCUGGCUGAGAGGAUGACCAGCCACACUGGAACUGAGACACGGUCCAG